UACGGAGGGUGCAAGCGUUAUCCGGAUUCACUGGGUUUAAAGGGUGCGUAGGCGGGUAAGUAAGUCCGUGGUGAAAUCUCUGAGCUUAACUCAGAAACUGCCGUGGAUACUAUUUGCCUUGAAUAUUGUGGAGGUGAGCGGAAUAUGUCAUGUAGCGGUGAAAUGCUUAGAUAUGACAUAGAACACCAAUUGCGAAGGCAGCUCACUACACAAUCAUUGACGCUGAGGCACGGAAGCGUGGGGAUCAAACAGG
rnacentral:rRNA from 1 species